UACGUAGGGUCCGAGCGUUGUCCGGAAUUACUGGGCGUAAAGAGCUCGUAGGUGGUUUGUCGCGUUGUUCGUGAAAACUCACAGCUCAACUGUGGGCGUGCGGGCGAUACGGGCAGACUAGAGUACUGCAGGGGAGACUGGAAUUCCUGGUGUAGCGGUGGAAUGCGCAGAUAUCAGGAGGAACACCGGUGGCGAAGGCGGGUCUCUGGGCAGUAACUGACGCUGAGGAGCGAAAGCGUGGGGAGCGAAUAGG
rnacentral:rRNA from 1 species